rnacentral:lncRNA from 7 species
CUAGCUUCCUCGUCUCAUCCCACCUGUGCCAGAACCGAGCGCUAACACCAUUGCGGGGAAGAACUGGGAGCAAGGAGUAGCCACCAACACCAACCACGUCCUUAACUGGUGUUCGAGAGGAUCCACGGAGGGCCUGGGAGCUUCACUGCGUUACUUGGAGGGCGCUCGUGGCCGAGGGAGGAAGGGUCGACCACUGGGGCGGCCAGAAUUCAUCACUGAGCACGAGAUUCGUCGCGCGCCUAGAUGAGCAAGCAACCGAGGAUCCUGUUGCUCAGCAGGUGGAAAA